rnacentral:rRNA from 1 species
AGAGACCGGCGCACGGGUGCGUAACGCGUAUGCAAUCUACCUUUUACAGGGGAAUAGCCCAGAGAAAUUUGGAUUAAUGCCCCAUAGUAUAGCAGUUUCGCAUGAAACUACUAUUAAAGUUCCAACGGUAAAAGAUGAGCAUGCGUCCCAUUAGCUAGAUGGUAAGGUAACGGCUUACCAUGGCGACGAUGGGUAGGGGUCCUGAGAGGGAGAUCCCCCACACUGGUACUGAGACACGGACCAGACUCCUACGGGAGGCAGCAGUGAGGAAUAUUGGUCAAUGGACGCAAGUCUGAACCAGCCAUGCCGCGUGCAGGAUGACGGUCCUAUGGAUUGUAAACUGCUUUUGUACGAGAAGAAACACUCCUUCGUGAAGGAGCUUGACGGUAUCGUAAGAAUAAGGAUCGGCUAACUCCGUGCCAGCAGCCGCGGUAAUACGGAGGAUCCAAGCGUUAUCCGGAAUCAUUGGGUUUAAAGGGUCCGUAGGCGGUUUAGUAAGUCAGUGGUGAAAGCCCAUCGCUCAACGGUGGA